GCUAAUAAUCUAGCCCUAAUUCUAAUAAUACUCCACAUCAUCUAAAUUCACCAAUCAAAACAUUUUCACAAAUCUAGUAUAGGAGAUAGAAAAAUUUAUUGGAGCUAUAGUAGUAGUACCGCAAGGGAAAAAUGAAAUAGAAAUGAAACAACCAUUUAAGCAAAAAAAAGUAAAGACUAACCCUCGUACCUUUUGCAUCAUGGUUUAACUAGUCCUAAUCAAGCAAAAUGAAUUUUAGUUUGACCUCCCGAAACUAGACGAGCUACUUCGAAGCAGCUAAAUAGCAAACCCGUAUCUGUUGCAAAAGAGUGGGGAGACUUCCUAGUAGAAGUGAUAUACCAAACGAGUCUAGUGAUAGCUGGUUACCUAAUAAAAGGAUAUUAGUCCAACCUGAAGAACUUUUAUGUUAACAAACAAGACUUUUUACUUCAGAUACAUUCAAAUAAGGUACAGCUUAUUUGAAACAGGAUACAACCUACACUAACGGGUAAUUUUUAACACAGCACAUGCAAGUAGGCCUAAAAGCAGCCAUCUUCCUAAAAGCGUCAAAGCUUAUAUGUCUAUACACUUAAUUCCAAAAACAAUAUAAAACCCUCUACCACCACUAGGUAAUUCUAUAUAUUUAUAGAAAUUUUUAUGUUAAAAUUAGUAACAAGAAGUUAAACCUUCUCUUUAAUGCAAGUAUAUAUCAGAAAGGACAAACCACUGAUUAUUAACAUACCUGAAACUCAAGCAGUUACAUCACAAGAAAAUUCUGCUUACCCAUAUGUUAAUCUAACACAAGAGCAUUACAAGAAAGAUUUUAAGAAAAAGAAGGAACUCGGCAAAUAUAAAUCUCGCCUGUUUACCAAAAACAUCGCCUCUUGUUACAAUAUAAGAGGUCCAGCCUGCCCAGUGACUUAAUUUAACGGCCGCGGUAUCCUAACCGUGCGAAGGUAGCGUAAUCACUUGUUCUUUAAAUAAGGACUAGUAUGAACGGCAUCACGAAGAUUUUACUGUCUCCUUUUUCAAAUCAGUGAAAUUAAUCUUCCCGUGAAGAAGCGGGAAUAAAAAUAUAAGACGAGAAGACCCUAUGAGCUUUAAACAUAGUAACACUUAUUACAUAUUUUAAGAAUUCAAGAAAAACAACACCAAGUAUGCUAGUAUGAUUACAAGUUUUCGGUUGGGGCGACCACGGAGCAAAAAACAUCCUCCAAGUAGAACGGAACUUUAUCCUGAGCAAAAAGCUUCAACUUUAUGCACCAAUAAAUUGACUUCUAUUGACCCAAUAUUUUGAUCAACGAACCAAGUUACCCUAGGGAUAACAGCGCAAUCCACUUUAAGAGCUCCUAUCGACAAGUGGGCUUACGACCUC
rnacentral:rRNA from 1 species